rnacentral:rRNA from 1 species
UACGGAGGGUGCAAGCGUUAUCCGGAUUCACUGGGUUUAAAGGGUGCGUAGGCGGGUUGGUAAGUCCGUGGUGAAAUCUCCGAGCUUAACUCGGAAACUGCCGUGGAUACUAUCAAUCUUGAAUAUCGUGGAGAUAAGCGGAAUAUGUCAUGUAGCGGUGAAAUGCUUAGAUAUGACAUAGAACACCAAUUGCGUAGGCAGCUUACUACACGAUCAUUGACGCUGAGGCACGAAAGCGUGGGGAUCAAACAGG